rfam:Triticum aestivum genome assembly, contig: Triticum_aestivum_CS42_TGACv1_scaffold_621473_7DS
GUUCUACUCCCUCCGUCCAGAAUUACUUGUGGCGGAAAUGGAUCUAUCUAGACGUAUUUUAGUUCUAGAUACAUCCAUUUUUAUCCAUUUCCGCGACAAGUAAUUGUGGACGGAUGGAGUACUAA